rnacentral:lncRNA from 1 species
CUAUGUCCAAUGACCAUACUCUCUCAACCUCUCAUGUCUCACGAUAUCUCUCGAAUCAUAAAUAAAAAAUACGUAUCUCUCUCCCAUUAGCCAACUCCAUCAAUCUCUCAAGUAGCUCUAAGAAACUCUCACGUGAAAAGCUCUGACCAUGGCCCAAAUCUCUCUUAAUGUCUCACGUAAUUCUCUUCCUAGAGUGCAAUCGUGAAACAAGUGCAAGAUCCAUCAACAUGCACGCUUCUUCUUCCUCUGUCGGAGAUUCAACCGGUGGUGAUUCAGGAUUCAGGUAUUGACAGAUGCACAUGUGCACAGAUCGACAAGUCAAAGACAAGAUUUAAAUUAAAAAAAAAAUUGGAAUAUACAGGCUCAGAUCAAUUCCGUCUGUUUCCUAAUCUAUUUCGUAUAUUCACCCCUUCCUACCUGUCACCUACCCAGGCCCUAAUCUCUCUUAUAACAGAUCAUCUCAUCCUUGGGUGCGAUUGAGUAGAAAAUUGGAAGAUUGAUCAACAUCUAUUCGUACUGCAGAAUUCUACUUCUUCUAUCUGACAUGCAAGUGGCGAUGUUUCAGGUAUUGACAGAUGCAUGUGCUCAGAUCCAAAGGCAAGAUUCAUUUUUUUUGCAAUAUGGAUGCUCAGAUCAAUUCCGCCAAAGGUGAAUGAUGUGAUGUGAUUAUGCAUGGAGCGCUGGAUGUUCUCCUAUUCUCAUGUUAUGUGCCAAAAUCUGGCAGAAUUUGUCCACCAAUCAAGGAUCAUCGCAACCUCGGAUUAGUUCUUCUUCUCAAGUUGAACGUUCAAUCUAGUAGCAAUCUUUUGAUUGACCCAUGUCUAUACAAACCAGUACAGAUCUUUUGCAUAGAUGAGUAUAUGAUGAUUUUCCAUCAAAUAAAUGCAAGAUUCAAGUUGUAUUUAUUUUCUAAUAUGCUCUUGAAGAAAUUUGUCUGCUCAUUGGGCACUGUAGCAAGCUUAGUUUAUUCUUCUUAUCAUGUCAAAGGUGCAAUUCUAGCAUUCAUAUAAUUGAUCUCCAUGGAUAGUAACCAAUAUGAUUGUUUUCUGUCCGAAAGUUUGUUGUGAUGUCGGACCUAUCUUCAACUUGGAGAAGGUAGAUGGAGAAAAAAAAGGUAAUGUGAGAUGCGAUUGGGGUAACAUAAAUAAUACUCCCUCCAUCUCGGUUUAUAGGACAUCCGCGUAAUUCUAGAUCAUCAAUUCGACUAACUAAGUAUAAGUUGUAUAUCAUCAAAAGUAUAUCAUUGAAAUCUUAAGCUGAUGUAGUUUAUAAACCUAUAUUUUUUUAUUAAAUAUAAUACAUAUUUAGUUAUAUAAAUUAUCAACCUCGAACGACGUGCAUGCCUUAUAAACCGAGAUGGAGGAAGUAGCGCGGUUACUUUUCUUCUUUUUUGCAAUCAACAAAUCACUUCUCCGCACCUCUAUAUGUGUUUGUCUAGGAACUAUUUCAACAGAUUCUUUCUUGCAUGAACUUGUGGUAACAACUUCUCCAGAAUUUUGCUUGGACAUGUCAGCGAGAUCCCAUCAAAGGUACCCCACUCAAGCCUAUUGUGUGGACACACAUGCAUGUUGUCAUCGGCAACAAUUUCGUGGUUGAACAUAACAGACAUCCCCGCACGAGCUUCUC